ensembl:lncRNA
AAUCAAGAAUCCAGAAAUCUUGAAUCAGAAAUCAGAAUUCUAAUUCUAAUGCUAUUGACAUUAAUGACACUUUCCUCAUCUAGAAUAAUUUGAUAUAUAAAAUAAUGUUAAGAGUUGCUCCGAAGAACUGCGUGCAUACUUCUGUGGGAGGCUGCUUGACUUUCUUCUCUCUCUGCGCUGGAAAUCAGAUCCCUGUUGAAAUCAGUAGAAUCAAAAUGGCACAAAACUGCAUUUAUGGUCAAGGUUAGAUUUUUCUUCAUGUUCUCCAUGCUCAUGUUGUGUUUGAGAAGGUUCUUAUCUUUAUAGCCUGCUAAUAUCAAAUUUGUUGCACUGUAAAAUCUGCCUGAGGGCCAGGAUAACUACAUAGUGAAUUAGGGUAGCUGUAUUUUUUGAAAAACUGAGAUGCUUUGUAAUGCAGAGAGCUGCUUUCCUUACUAAUGAAACACCUUGUAUUCUAGAGGUAGAGAAAGCAAGAAGGUAAUGCUCGUUCACUCCCAUUCUUGCUGAGGAUUUAUGAGAACCUAAGACCAUUUUUGCAUUUUAGCACCUCUCUUCAAUAGAUUGAAAGUCGACACCUUUGAGCAUAUCAGAACAAAUCUGAUAAUGCCUGAGAGAAUUCUAGAUCAGUUAAGACAUUUUAAUUGUUGACAAAGUUAGGCAGCCCUGGGAAGAGCAUGACUGGGCCGCUGUCUGCUGUUCGGGUGUGUUUUAGGCAUCUAAAUCCAAAAAUCCUGCAGAAUUUAAGCGUACUGAAUCCUAUCAUUUUUUACAGUAUUUUAAUGGUUAAUCAUUUCUGAGAGACAAUAUUAAAUCAGUAAAGAGAAAAUUGUCUCUCGAAGUAAUCAGCGUAUAACUUUAUAAAAUGGAGAUGUUUAUUAUUGAGCAGAGUUUUUGGGAUCUGAGGAAUUUGCUUCUCCCUUAGUGUGACAUGAGAAAUUGGAAAAGCAAGCCAAAAUGAAUCAAGAAAGGGCAGUGCAAACUCCAGCGGCUCUGAGGUCGCUGGUUUUUAAUAUCACUUUGACAUCUGUGCUUUCCAGUUAGAAGCAAAGAGGACGUACAGGGACAUCAUAGUCAGCUUUCAGAAAGGUCUGCCUUGUCUCUCUUAGCAGUUAUUUCCAGACCUCUGCUGUCGUCUUUACCUGGCGUUGCCAUAUCUUUAUUUUUUUUAAUCUUUUAAAUAAUGUUUUUAAUUUCAUCUUCAUUCUAUUUUCAAUUACUGAUCGCUUCACUUGCAGAGGAGUCUCAACAUGCUAUACAUACAGCAUUCUAGUGUUUGUCACCCAGCUAUUGUAGGCAUCAUUGAAAAGGUGUUGCCUAAGGCAGACAGUGCUGUUUACAGAUGUUUAUGUGAAGGCAAUACAAGAGAAAGCACCUGUUUUUCAAUCCAAUUUUCUUAUAAUGAUUUUGACUUCUCUUAACUUAAACUGUUACGCUAUUAAAUUACUUUUAAUGAUCAGUUUCAAUCCUUCAGUAUUACCUGAAAUUCAUCCUGCAGGCAGCAUGGUAUGUGGGUAUUUAACACUCAGGAUCUUACAGCACUUACAAGUAGAAAUCUGUGGCACGUGACCAGCCUGGUUUUGCUGGAGAUGGUAAUGCUGUACGAGACACAGACCGUGACUGCUGCUGCUUCCAUUCCUCCUCCCCUGGACACUUGCCACUCGUAGCUUCCUCCUCACCUCACCCCCUUCCUUUCAGGCCCUCACUGCUGCUUUUUUCUGCAGCUCAGAACUGCUGUCACUGCCUGGUCCAGCAACACCAGUGGAGUCCUCCUUGGUACUCCCAUGGGAAUUAUUACCCUUGUUAUUUAAAGCAAUUCUGGGGCUGAUACUCAGUUCUUAAGCUCACAAAACAAUCUGUAAUAGGAAUCACUUGCCAUGUAAAUAUCUUUAAAAACAGCCUUGAAUUCCUUCCCAGCAUCAUGAAAAUAUUAGAUACAAUGCAAAAAAAAAUGUGCCAGAAGACAAACAAAAAAAGAUUGUAUGUGCCAUGGGUAUCAUCUACUCUGCUAACACAUUCUUGUGCUGCCAGCUAGUUUUAUCCUGUUUAUGUGCUGCUUUUAGUUCUAAAUAACUACUAAGCAGAAAAAAAAAUACCCUGCAUGGCUGAGUUUGCUCGUUGCUCAUGUUAAUGUCACAACAGUUAUUUGAGUGCCGUGGUUGUCGUCAAAUAUGUACAUUACUGUGUUACAUAUCAUAAUGUGAUGUGCACCAGAAUUAUACGGUGAACUAAAGCCAAAGGCAAAGCAAGGUCAACCUAAGCAGAACUGAAACUUGUAAUUAAUGGAUUCAACUUGAACAGAUCUCCCAAGUGAAGACAUGUAGCGUCACAGAGGGAAUGUAUUCAUUGAUGGGAAGAUGAGGUAAACAGGGUAUUAAGUGUUCAGUAUUUCACGUGAAUGAGGCAAUAGAUUCAUUAAUAAUGAAUGUUAAUUAUGUCAUCUCCCUCUGAUAUCUGAUAUUCCCUGCCUUAACAAUGCUUUCCUUCCUGCUAGGCAGAAGAAUUUUAAAAGUUCCAAGGACUAACAUUGUCCUUUUCCAAGUAAAGAGUAUGAUAUUUUAGAAAAAAGACUGAAAAUACGUCUAGCAGGUUUGAUUCUUCUGAAAAAGUGUGUAUAUUUACAACUGCAAACAAUUAUUCACAGAAUAAAUACAAUAACGUGCAUAAC